rnacentral:rRNA from 1 species
GUGCACCAGUCGAGAAACUUCACACUGUGCGAAAGCACGAUGAGGGAAUCCCAAGUGCUUGCACGUAAGUGUAAGCUGUUUCUCUGUCUAAAACGCAGAGAGAGUAAGGGCUGGGUAAGACGGGUGCCAGCCGCCGCGGUAAUACCUGCAGCUCAAGUGGUGACCGUUAUUAUUGGGCCUAAAACGUCCGUAGCCGGUUUAAUAAAUGCCUGGGUAAAUUGUGUAGCUUAACUAUACGAAUUCCGGGUAGACUGUUAAACUUGAGACCGGGAGAAGUUAGAGGUACUCCUGGGGUAGAGGUGAAAUUCUGUAAUCCUAGGGGACCACCAGUGGCGAAGGCGUCUAACUAGAACGGGUCUGACGGUGAGGGACGGAGCCCUGGGGCGCAAACGGGGAUUAGAUACCCGUGUAGU